GUUCAUUAAUGUUAAAUCAUUAUUUAAUUAAUGGAUGCUGGUACAAGUAAUAAAUAGACCGGUUUCAUUUUAAAUAAAUCAUCUAAAAGGAAGGACUGCACGGCAAAGUAUAGAUUUGUUACAAAAUGGUCAAGAUUUUCAUCACCAGCUUCAUAGUCUCCCUUCUACUGUGUUCUGUCUGUGCUGAUGAAUGUGAGGUAACGACACCACAGCAAAUAGAAUGUAUGGGCGGACGCACAGAGGGUUUAUACUACUCGUACAAUGGUGGACAAUGUAGGCGUAUGUACGGUUGUUUCUCCGCGUACGCAACCAACCUAUACAACGAGGAGGAAGACUGCAUAACAGCUUGGGAAAAUUGUUGAAUAUGUAUAUGAUACAUGAA